rnacentral:rRNA from 1 species
GAUGAACGCUGGCGGCAUGCCUAAUACAUGCAAGUCGAACGAGAGGAAGGAAAGCUUGCUUUUCUGAAUCUAGUGGCGAACGGGUGAGUAACACGUAGGUAACCUGCCCAUGUGCCCGGGAUAACUUCUGGAAACGGAUGCUAAAACCGGAUAGGUAGCAGACAAGCAUUUGACUGCUAUUAAAGUGGCCUUGGCCAUGAACAUGGAUGGACCUGCGGUGCAUUAGCUGGUUGGUGAGGUAACGGCCCACCAAGGCGACGAUGCAUAGCCGGCCUGAGAGGGCGGACGGCCACAUUGGGACUGAGACACGGCCCAAACUCCUACGGGAGGCAGCAGUAGGGAAUUUUCGUCAAUGGGGGGAACCCUGAACGAGCAAUGCCGCGUGAGUGAGGAAGGUCUUCGGAUCGUAAAGCUCUGUUGUAAGAGAAAAACGGCACUCAUAGGGAAUGAUGAGUGAGUGAUGGUAU